rnacentral:lncRNA from 1 species
CAGCAACAGCAGAGCAAAACCAGAGGGAGAGACAAGGAGGCACGAUGUUGGUGGGUAGGACAGGGCCGAGGGAAAUAACUCCAACGAUGGUGGCGUGGAUCCCGGACAGCCUUUGAGUCUGAGCUCCUCCAUUAUCGAGUGGACCCUGUUACAUAAUUCCAAAAAUAUUUGGCCUGAAGAUGAAAGCAGAGAACUGAGUUGUAUUUGAAAAGAUGCACACAAGAACCUAGCAUGGAGUCAAGAACAUGGAAGGGGGAGAAACAGCAACAACAAGACUCACACUCUGGCAUUGCGCUGUUUCCUGGGCCACUCUGCUAUACUGACGUUCGCAUCGGGUACCAUCCCCACACGCAAUCAGGGCUGCACGACUGUCCUUCCCACCUCACAGAUGAGGAAACCGAGGCGCCGGAAGGUUAAUGACUUAUCCGAGGCCACUUGUCACAGCGCAAGUCCGUGGAGGAACUGGGGUGGAAGCCAGCAUGAUGUAAGAUAACUUGGGGCCUCCCGGGUGUCUAAGGAGGACUAGAGACCCGGAGGGGACUGGUUGGCUGGACUGACGGGAGUGGCGGGUGAGGGAGCUCUGCCAGCACCCAGACACUUUGGGCUGAGAGCAGAGAUCCACGGUCUGCAGUAGAUGCGGGUUUGGAGAUGAACUCACUCAGCAAAUCCCCAGAGCACAGAUUUAAGUUGUACCCCUUGAACCUUGCAGACCUUAACCUUGUUGAACCUUGUGGAACUUAACUCAAAAUCAAAUAAUUUUACUGUCAAAAAACGGAGCUUAUUUAGACUUCACAUAAGUUCUAGAGAUUUGGGUGGUGGGAGCAGAGGACUAUGAUUCACUGAGCGCCAACUACGUGCCAGGCACUCUGCUAGACCUACUCGUAGAUGAUUCAUUGCUCCCUCCCCAGAAACCCAGGAGACACCCUUAGCCCCAGGGUUAGGGGCUAGCAAAGGCCAGGGGCAGAGGGCUGGCAUGCACGUACGCACAUGCCCUGGUGCUCGGCACGGUCUGUCAUUAGGAAGGGGUACUGGGCUAUCAUGGGGGCAUAGCUCCAUUGGGGCUAUUGUCAGAGAGAGUCCUGCAACGUUCCCCUGCAACCCGGAGAGCUUCUAGAGACAAAAUCCCAAGGCACACGCCCAGUGAGCCCGAUUAAUU